rnacentral:rRNA from 1 species
CGGACGGGUGAGUAAUGUCUGGGAAACUGCCUGAUGGAGGGGGAUAACUACUGGAAACGGUAGCUAAUACUGCAUAACGUCGCAAGACCAAAGAGGGGGACCUUCGGGCCUCUUGCCAUCGGAUGUGCCCAGAUGGGAUUAGCUAGUAGGUGGGGUAACGGCUCACCUAGGCGACGAUCCCUAGCUGGUCUGAGAGGAUGACCAGCCACACUGGAACUGAGACACGGUCCAG